rnacentral:rRNA from 1 species
UACGAAGGGGGCUAGCGUUGCUCGGAAUCACUGGGCGUAAAGCGCACGUAGGCGGACUCUUAAGUCGGUGGUGAAAUCCUGGAGCUCAACUCCAGAACUGCCUUCGAUACUGGGAGUCUCGAGUCCGGGAGAGGUGAGUGGAACUGCGGGUGUAGAGGUGAAAUUCGUAGAUAUUCGCAAGAACACCAGUGGCGAAGGCGGCUCACUGGCCCGGUACUGACGCUGAGGUGCGAAAGCGUGGGGAGCAAACAGG